AAAAGCGAGGAAGAAACACUAAAAAAAAGGAUGAGGAGGUAGAGUAUGUGGGUACAAUGGAACCACAACAAGAAGAACCAGCUGAAGUUCAAGCUGAAGAUCCAGAUCAUUUGGAACCACAACAUGAAGAACCAGCUGAGGUUCAAGUAGAAGUCCAAAUGGGUGAUAAAGAACCUGAUGUGGGAGAGCCUGAAGGAGAGAUAGAAUUUUCUGAGGGUCAUGAGGUUGCUAUUGAACCUAAGAGUAAGAGACAGCGAGGACCAACUAGGAUGAAAGACAUAGCCAAGGAUCCAAAUACCAGAGUUAGAGUAGAGUACAAUAUCAUGGGAGAGCCUAUUGGUAAAGGGUCAGUUAAGCUGUCAUCAUAUGUUGGUGCAUUGGUCCGAGAACAUGUUCCUAUCACAAUUGAUCGUUGGACAAAAAUAGGUGAAGAAAUCAAGACACUUCUCUGGAAAUCUGUCCAGGUAUCAUUUCUCUAAUUUUUCUUGUAUUGCAUUACGUUUUAUCAGAUAUUGUAAUUAAAUUUACUGUUUUUUCUAUUGAGUGCAGGCUAGGUUUGAACUAGAUGAAGAGUACCAAAAGGUUGCAGUGCUUAAGCAGAUGGGAUGUUUGUGGAGGUCCUGGAAAUCAAAGCAAGUUACAAACAUCAGAGAAGCUAAGACUAACCAGCAGAGGAUGAAUCUGCGACUUAAAAAUGUUUCUCCAACCGAUUGGCGUAAAUUUGUGAAGCUCAAAACUAGCCAAGAAUUUAAGGUUGUAAGCGAUAGCUACAAGGAAAGAAGGCGCAAACAAAUUCCUCACACUUGUAGUCGCAAGGGAAUGGUUAGACUAGCAUAAGAUAUGGUAAUCACAUGACAGUUAUGUUGUUUAUAUUGCUCAGCUUCUUUUUAAAACACUUAUUAAUAUGUAAUGAUUUUUGUUUGGUUUAGAAAACUGGUAGUGCAGACCCAUCUGAAGUGACAAGGCUAAAGGUUUGGGUUAAAUCACGUACCAAGAAAGAUGGUACACCAGUGAACACUAAUGCUGCUGAAAAGAUUGUGAGUUUAAAAUUUUGCUUCUAAUGAUGUGCAUAUUGGCAUUUGAUUCUUAAUCUGCUAUUGAAUCUGUAUCUUAUGAGUUGCAGAAAAAGGCAAAUGAGAUUGUUAACAGUGAUGAUCCAUCGAUUGCAACAAAUGAAGCACAACAAGAUUCACUUAGCCAACUGUUAGGGCCUGACAAUCCUGGUAGAAUGAGGGCAAUGGGUAGAAAUAUGAAUAAGACCAAGUUAGCUUGUUUCCAAGUGAAGCACAAGUGUAUGGCUCAAAUGCAAGAGAAUCAGAUUCAGCUCCAGCAGAAGGUCACUGAGUUAGAAGAUGUAAUUCUGAAAAUGAAGAAUCAGAGACAAUCACCUGAGGUUGGUGAAAACUCAGCUGCAAGAAGUGUGAAUAAAAGAUCACAACCAAAGUGUGUCUUGAUUGAUUGGGCUGGUUCUGAGGAAAAAGUUGCUGAGGGGCUUAUUAUGUCUUCUGAUCCUGAUGAAUUAGUUAAUGAAAGUCGCUUAGGCCCUACGGAUGUUAAAGUCUUGAUUGUCACUGCUAUUGUACCAGAAGCAUUCCUUUGGAGACCUGCGAUUAACAUGUGCACCAUUGAGAAAGCUGUUGGA